UGUCCUCAAACAUCGGAUCUAGACGAACCCCCCUUGCCUCUCAACGGAUGAAGGGAGUGCUGUUGGCUGGGUGUGGCUGAAAUUACGGCCGGCGGCGCGGAUUUUGCCGGAGUAGCCCUUGCCUCUACCAGGGAUGUACGAAGGGGAGUGGUGCUGGCUGGGGCGUCAUCGCCAGAUACCUCACGAUCGGCAAAUACGCACAGCGUGUCAGCGCCGGCGCCGGCGCCCCCGUCUACAUCUCCACCAUCCUUGAGUACCUCGCCGCUGAGAUCUCGCCUGAAACGCGGCGUGCGAAAACAAGAAGAAUUGCAUCGUGCCCCGGCACAUCCAGAUGGUUGCUCGGCAUGGUUACCAUCGCCACGGCGGCGUCCUGUCCAACAUCCACACCACGCUGCUCCCCAAGAAGGCCGGCAAGAAAAGGGCGACAUCGGAUCCACGCCGGCAAGAACAUGAACAAGCAAGGUGCAGAAAAUGACUUGGAAUUCACAAUUGUGAGGCCUUUCAGUGGGAUUGGACCAAGGAUGGACUUCAUUCCUGGCGUUGAUGGUCCCAGCAACGGCAUUCCUGGAGUAUGUAAACUCUUUCCUUGCUGAGAAUGAGUACCUUCAUUGCACCAUGUUUAUAUAGUCUUCUGAAGAGGAUAACAAUAUGCUGUCAAUAUGGGUUAGGCUCUGCCACCGCUGGCUUCCACGAUGCCUCCUUAUUGUAUGAUGCCGCACCCACUCGCUGGACAGGACAUCAUCUGCCGCCUCUCUACCUACUCCGCCUCCGCUCGAGCUCAGCCAGGACAUGAGAACGUAUCCAGGUGUUGGCACGUCCAUCGCCUCCAUGCGGGUUGAGCUACACGAAGAGACCGGGUCCAGGGUCGUGGACGACCGUGAUCCUGUGUUUAUCGCCGUCCAUUCCCCUUACGAUGGGUUCGUCCCCAUCUCUCACGAUCGGCGCCUCCACAUCGAUCCAGGGCAACACGCACAUCCUCCACAUCGACGUCCGAUGAUGCAAACCUCUGAAGGACUACGGACGGCGACGACCACCUGCGGCCGGAAACCCUGCUCGACGGCUUUCUCUCCAACAUGCUCUCCUGGCUUUGCAACUCCAUCCGGACCGGUUCAUCCUCUCCAGAGAAGGUAAAAUCCUCCAUUGCUUCUCUAUUACUAUUUUUUGUUGCAAUAGUAGGAUGGGUAGAGGAUUCUAUUGGCUUUCAAAGUUGUGCGAAUGAACUUUGAAGUUAACUACGGACUACAAUUAUCAUUAUGUCUUCCUGAUGAGCUCAAUGUGCACAUUGUCGUUCAGGGAACACAAGGCAAGAGUUUUCUUCAGCGUUUCAAGUUAUCUAAAAUCUUUAGGUAUAACAUUUGAAUGGCUUUGUCUAUGUAUCGUUCAGCAUGUUCAGAUUUUCUCCGGUUUCAACUUAGUGGCUUCUCAUAUUCUUCAUUUAUAGAAUAAAUAGCUCCCCUGUGAUAUUAUUUUAGUGAAGAAAUUUGCAGGCGUAGAUAGGUUGUAGACAGGAGGAAAUAGGAUGCUCUAUGUAUUAUUAAGAUAUGGCAAUAAGGUGCCAGCAUUUGUGUGUUCUUUACUCGAACUGUUUACAAUCUGCGGCAGCUCCUAGCUAAAUCUGAAUUCAUUAGACUGUACCACUUCAUUUACUGUAUUGAGAAUGUUUGUGCUAAAAUCUAAAUUCAUUAGCAAAAUUGCCUCUCCCCAACUGUGGAUCUUUUGAGUUUCUACCAGCUGAAGGUGCAAAAAAAGACUUGGAAUUCACAAUUGUGAGGCCUUUUAGUUGGAUUGGACCAAGGAUGGACUUCAUUCCUGGCGUUGAUGGUCCCAGCAAGGGCAUUCCUGGACUGGAGUAUGUAAACUACGGCUAUGUAUUAUUGGCAAUAAGGUGCCAAUAUUUGUGUGUUCUUUACUCGAAUUAUUUACAAUCUGCGGCUGCUUCUAGCUAAUUCUGAUUACCUAUAUAGAAUUUUCAACAGAGCAUGGUUACUAUAGUAUCUUGAUCUUAUUUUCUGUUUCAUAGGACUUACUGCACUCUAUGCUGGACUAAGUAGAAGUGGCAUCGGCACCGAAGAACAUCAGUUUACCUUUAAGAGAUCUAUGAAAUUUCUGAGGGUUAUGGUGUGUUACGAAUUAUUGUUGGAUUCAAGGAGAAUUAUUUUUGUUCAGGAUUUACCAGUCCAAAUUGUGAGUUAACUAUACACUCCAAAUCAAUAUAUUUAAAAGGGUUAGUAUGCUCCACAUUGUCAAGGUAUGCAUUUAUCCUGUACUGUUGAGUUCUCAUGUGUGUGUUAGUACCCUUCAGAAAGCAUGUUACUUGUAGUUCGAAAUUAUGAUCCAUGGUCUGCAUUGAACUAUUUUUUUUGAACUUGCUACUGCUCUAGCAGUUCUGCGCAGAUUAAUAAUGUGUAGUAUGCAACGUAAAUAUGAAUACUUUUAUGGAAUGAGAAUAUAUGGCGUUUAAAUGAUAAUAAUCAUGAUUUCGUGUUGUGGAUUUAUAUCCGGAUCUCUGAAAUUAUAUGUACUUGCAUUGUUGGAAAUAUAUGAGUGAAAAGGUAACUACACAAAGUGCAUGAAGUACGGGUUAUACAUUCAAUACUAUAAGAUAGUGAAACGGUAUGAUUAUUUGCUGGCUAGAUAGUGAAACGGUUUGAUUAUUUUCUGGCUAGAUCUGUGUUCAUAGGGUGAAGAAUUGUAUUUGAGUAGAAAGUGAAUAGCUAUGGGUUAAACUUUUUAGCAAAAAGAAAUCUACGGCCGGUCUGUCAGAUAGGUUUGAUGAAUUAACGAAGAUUCAUUAUCAAUAUGAUACAUGCUUAUUUAUUUUUUGAAAUAUGUUUAUAAUAUAAUAAUAACGUGAGAUUUUUUUACAGUUUGAAAAAUCAAAUUUAAUCUAUUUGUUGUAUGUUAACAAUACCAUCUCAUUUGGCUCCCUGUAGAUUCUUUGGAUCUUUGUAUUUAGUUAUCUCGAAACCGGACCAAAUACAAGAUUUAAUUAACAUGAACUCUUCUCAGCACUUUGGACUCUUUGAUUGGCAUGUUCAUGUCUUGAUCGUUCUUCAUGAUCAAUAUACUUUGGUCUACUAAAAAUUUCUUGAAAUCCCCAUUGAGAUGUUAGUAACCCUUUUGACUUCUAUAUGUAGUAAAGUUAAUGCGACAACAAAGACUUAUGGUCUACAUGUGCAGCUGAGGAAAAAGCGCGAAAGUACUGGCCAAACAGAGCCAAUGCUUGUGUCAGCUCGCCACCCCAUAGUGCAAUUUGCAGUUCAAGUCUUGUGCUUCAAGCCAAGACCAGGACCUAAUUUUCCCAUGUAAGUCUGCAGCUUAUCCAUACAAUGGUAGAAUACCUCAUCUACGAAGAGAGGCUUGCAUCUCGAAAACAUAUUGAGGUCUUCGAUCUCCCGGUUUUGAAAACAUCCGCCCGCUGAUCGUCUUGCAAUAGGCCUAAGCUCGGUAUACGCAGUGUGUAGUAAUUUUUCUAGCCAAACAAUCAACAUAAAAACUACUAUUCUACCACCGUAGUGCAAUAAGUUUGCACACGAGAGAAUUCUAAAAUUACAUAAUAUAAGUAUCUAUUGUGCCAUCGUGAAGAAGGCUUCCUUAUAUCAAUCUGGACCAGAAUUGUGGGGAAUUUAAACUCAUCUUGUUUCUUAACAUGCGAGUCUCACCACCUUCAUCAUUAUAUUUUGUCUUCUUUUCCUCAGUCAUUCCAAAUUUUGUAGGAACAGUGCUUCCGUGUGUUCCUCUAAUAUGCAGAUAUUCAUGUUUGGGGUAAUUUCGCGAUUGCUGCACAUUUGUGAAACUACUGGGAGAAGUACACUUGGCUAGAUAUCUUUUAGCAGCACAUCUAAACAUCACGUUAUUUGUAAGAUUUCUAGAAGAAGAUUCAAUGUUAUGCAUUUUCGUGCAUAUAAUAAUGGCAACAUUUCAGCUCUCCCAAUGUGAGAUGCAAAGCUCAUCCUAACCAAAAUAGUUGUUGAACCAUCUCAAUUGUAGAAAUAUAGGUUUUUUUUGCUGCAUCUCUGUUUUAUGAAACAAAAAAUAUUUGUAGUCAUAUGUUUGUUAUAGGUAAAGGGUUCCUUCAUUGUUUUUGUAUUGAAUUGUGGUUUAUAUUUAAUGGAUAGUUAAAAGGAUUGUAUACUAGAUUCGAUUUUUUUUUUCUUUUGGAUCAACCCUUGCAAUGGAAUCUUUUCCACAAGACUACAACCCUGAGUAAUUUACCAUGAUGUUUUAUGAUCACAAAGGUGCAAGGCAGGGUUGUCUGCAGAGCAGGCAGGCGAAUCCAAUUGAUGUCACUACCGUUUCUUGUCUCCAUUGCUGAAUGUUGUGACAUCACUGUAUAUCAUUGAUAAAUUGCUGUGCAGAGAUUCCUUAGAUUUAUUGCAACACACGAUCUCGGUGCAGGGGCGGCUUAACCAGAGGGUAAGAAUGACAUGAGAUGUAGAGGGCGGGAGAUAGUAUGGAGCUUGGAGGAUGUAUUAGAUGGUACCACCUCCGAAUAAGGCGUCAUCAUUUUAUGAGCUUUUUAUUUGACCAAGAAUUACUACAAAUAUAUA